CCUCUGACUAUUUCUAUUUCUGGCUUUCACAGGUUUAUUACUCCGGCUUAGCUAUGGGUCAGGACUUGAACUCCAGUACAUCUCGUCUGAUCUCUGUUUGAUCCCUAAAUAUAUUGGUUGCCCAGCUGAGGAAGGCCAGAGUGUUUCUUGCUGGAGAGUUGCGGUGUCUUCAGCAAGUAGGUGAAAGAAAGAAAUGAGAAAUAAGCUAAAGCAGGGAGGGUCACGCAAUGCAAUCUUUCCAUAAAUUUGACAGAUGGAAUAACAAAGGCCAAUGUGGUGAUGAUGCUGAGUUUCUUCUGACUUUACAAAGAUGGGGAAAAAUCAUUCAAGAAUGGAAAGAUCCAGUGCCUGAUCUCAGUAGAUCCUGCAGAUGCGCAGCUUAUCAGGUAUGCAAAUUCCUAGGUGAGUAUCCACCUCAAACUCAAACUAGCAAUAGGAGGAUUAAAGUCACAUAUAAGCUAUUUCAAGAGAUCUGAGUCAUUAUCAUUUAACCUGAGACCUGAAAGAUGCAAAAGAGAUAGUUACGAUGAAGGAAUACUAUCCCAGGCACAAGGAAUGGCAAGUUCAAAGACUCUGAGACAGGCACAAAUUUGGAUGGUCAAAGAAAGGAAAGGUGGCCAUUGUGGACAGAGAUAGUGAGCAUGGAAAAGCCUGGUGCAACAUAAGAGCGAGGGAGCCUGGGCAACUCUCUUAGCAAUGGAGAUGAAGUAAAGUAGACACUUUAUUUAUAUUGGAUAUUAUAUUUAUAAUAUAGGGGGAAAAGUGGUGGAUUGAUUAUAAGGGCAAAGAAAGCAGAGAAAUAAAGGCUAAUACCUAGGUUAUUGGCUUGACUAA
rnacentral:lncRNA from 1 species